rnacentral:lncRNA from 1 species
ACCAUUUGAUACCAUCUGUUUCUCACACACAUCCAUGAGGGAAGAAUCAUUCCCAUUUAACAGACAAUGUAACUGGGCCUGAAUAUAGCUCAGCGACUUGCCCCAGGCCCACCAGGAAGUGGAUAAAGCCAUGCUCAACCCAGCACUUCUUCUCUCUACCUUCCACCGAUCCUGCCUGCUCAUCUUCCCUCCUUGGUGAAGGCAUGUGUGCUGUGCUCUGCUUAACUAAUUUCCCUCAGAUAUUCGCAUUUCUGUCUUUACAAUUUGGCAUCCCAGUGAGGUUUCCCUUUGUAUAUUUUCCGGUUCCUAUAUUCCCAUUAUUCAGGUAUCAUCACUCAAUAACCAUUUGACAGCAGUAAUGCUUUUCACAUGGAAAGAAUUGGGUUUUUAUUGAUGGCAAAUGUUGUGAUGAACUUUCAUGCCCACUUGGAGCCGGAGCACUUUUUUAUAGAAUGAACCACAAUGAGAAGCGUUUCCAAGAAAUGUCUUUGGAGUGUGGACUGAGAUGUACGUUUAGGAACAGGUCCUGUGGCCAGAGUGGGGAGAGAGGGGGCUUCCCAUUGUCAAAAUCUCAUCAAUCAAAAUGUAUAAUAGCAACAUUAUUAAUAACCCUAUAGUUGCAUUGCACUUGGUGCUCUUCCAAGCACUUCCCUAGAAUCCUAAAAUGAAGGCAGGGCAGAUAUUAUAUCCAUGUUACAGGUUAAACAACAUUGUAACAGGACUGAUAACACCAUGAAUGAGAAGUCAUUUGAUCAAUGGCCAAGGCAAUCCCCCCAGCCUGAGCUACUUCCCAGACCAGACCACAGAAGCAAGGCCAUGCUCACCGAGGACCCCACUUGUGGACUAGACUUCUGUCCUGCUGUGGCCUCAAAAGCAAUAGCCAGGGCCCCAUGAUGAAGCUGCCAUCAGAAGCACAGGUGUGCCUGGCAAGGACACAGGAGGACCACGGCUCCAUGCCGAUGAGAAUGGCAGCUAAGUCUGAAGCUUUCUAUGAUUUAGAUUCCUGGUUGCGAGAGGGAGCCUAUAGGAAUGGCGAGAAGAGUGAGAACUUUGCAGAGGCAGCAAGCUAGGAUUUUCUCUUUGGGUCACCGCGUGUUCUUUGGGGUCAUAUAAAGUACUCUGCUCAAGAACAAAGGCCAGUGUGGCUAUGAUGAAAAUGCAUUGACAGAGGGGCUUCAAUGUCUAUGGAACAGAAACAAGAGCCCUGGACCAAGAGGAGGAAAUGUGGAUUCACCAACAUGUUGAAAAUCAUUCUAACAUCUCCAGGCCUCAGCGUGGUCAUUCACAAAUGGAAUUCAACAAUUUCUAAGGCAACUUUUCUAACAUUUUGGAGAUAAAAAAUUUAAUGUUUAGUCCCUGUAACUAGCUUUGACAAAGAGAACACAGUGGAAGUGAUCCUGCCCACCCCUUUUCCAAGGUAGACCUUAAAAGACCUGUAGCUUCCACUAUUGUGCCUCCUAGAAGCCUGUACCAUGUAAGAAUUCUAACUACCAUGGGAACAUCAUGCUGUGAGGAAGCCCAAGCUAGCCAUUUGGGAGAGAGGAAGGCCACGUAGAGAAGCACCAAGAAACUAGACAUGUUUGUGAAGCCUACUUGAACUUUCCAGCCCAACUCCAGCUGAAUGCAUCCAAGUGAAUGGCCCCAGCUGAUCCCCUGUGGAGCAGAACCACCCUGCUGACUCCUGACUGAAUCCCUGAUCCACAGAAUUUGGCUAUGGGCUCAGAUCCUCUCUUACUUCAAGGGAUCUGGGCUGGAUGCUUGGGCGCGAGAGAGAAGAAUGGCUCUCAACUGGGCGGGGAAGAGUAGCCCGCAAGGAGGCAGCGGCUCCAGGAUGGGAAGUGAGGAUGCCAAAAAAGCAUCCCUAGGAAGGUUCCUGCCUUUCCACGAGGCUAUGGGGCUUUGAAGAUAUAUCAGCUUUCUCCAGGAAGAAAUGGCACUGAUGCUCCUAGACUGGAUUUCUCAUCCUCUAAGUCAGGCCUGGCCUUGGAAGCAAAGCCCCCAGGAAUGACUGGAAGACAACACUCUGCAGACCCCUUCCACAGGGUACCCCUGCUCUCCAGGAAGGGCCUUCAGGGCAGCAUUUGGAGGUGGCAUGAGCUAGCAGCGGCGUGCAGCCUGGUCACUGUCUGAUCUGGUCAGCCCAGCCGCACAGAACACCACACAGGCUCUGGCAGCUCCCUGGGAAAGAAGAAAGCAGCAUCUUGCAUGUGUGGCUUAUUCUGAAAGGAAUAGUAUCUGAGGGAUUUGAUGGACUCUGACAGGGGGAAGAAGGUAGUGAAAAAGAUGGAACAAAGAUGCCAUUUAAAAAUACUGGCUCGUGUUCAGGAUUUCGCUAUUUUUUACUGCAAGGAACAAGUAAAAAAAAAAAUCCUCCUAUUGAUGAGUAUUUUUCUACAGUCAUUAAAAGUCAAAGGACUCAGGGCUUCCGACUUUCCCUCUUGGGAAACCUGUAAGCUCGUCUUCUGGACAGCUUAGAAAAGGGCUGGAUGGCGAAGGCGAGAGGCUUAAAGGCCCCCAGCAAGCAGCUCCGCCGAGGAACGGGUGCAGGGGACACACUGUGUUUUCAGUUCAGAUUCUGUGAUCUUUCUGCCAAACAGGGGUUUACAAAGCAAAAACCUCCAGAGAAUUCUCAUACUUUCUGGCUUAUUCUCCUGGUGUUCGUCUUAACAGGAAUCAGCUGUUUGCCUUCUCACUUAUACAGCAUGUUGCUGAGGCGAAUUUAGCAUCUGGCCUGGCUAUUAUUAAAAACAAGAACAUCCUGCUCUGUUGGGAGAACAGCACCACUGGCAAUAAAAGGACAGAGAUCAUUUGCAUUCAGGAUUCCAGAGAUGUGUUUCAGUUCAAUAUCUGCGCUCCCUCCUUCCACCCCUGCUUUCAUUUUAAGAUUUCCUGAUGCAUCCAUCACUUGCAGCGUGGUCAACUUUUUUUCUGAAACAGGCACACACAGGCAGAGCAUAUUUUUUCCUUUCACUGGGAGGCAGGAAUGACUGGAGUUGUUCAAACACCGGUCCGUUCCUGCAAUUCCUAUGAUAAAGUUGAACUACCAGAGGAAUUUUUUUUUUUUUUUUUACAACUGCGGAAAUGAAAAAGUAAACAAGACUGGGACUGCAUUGGUAUUUAGGCUCCAGCUUUUUGUUGUUGUUUUUGUCUUUCCCUUUUUUUAAGCCAUUGGGCUAGGAGCCUGAAGGGACCAUAUAAUAUGAAAAACGCUGAGAGGUUUUAUUAGCCAAUAAAAAAAAAAACUGAGUUCCUAUUAACCACUUAACUCCUUGCUGAAGUUCAAACUUGCUUUCUCCUUGGAUCCUUCUCUCCCUCUCAUGCCCACGAGGAAUGACGGUUGGUUCACCAAUCUUUCCCUGCACAACCUGAGCUCACAGUUUGUGCUCCAGAAGGUGUGGUUGAGAAUCGUAUUCAAUAAUAAUCUCUGUAUUUCUCAUCUGUGAAGCCAUAAAUAAGAUUUCUGUAAGGAGCCAAAUGUUCUACGCCCCCAAAUCUACACACACAAAGACUCUUUAAGCACUCUACUAAAAAAGAGUAAAGUCAUUGUGAUUUCUAGGAUUUUAAAUACUAAAUGAUGGUUAGGGAGAACAAAAUCAGGCUGAAGCAUUUCUGGGAUAAAUAAUGAUCCCACAAAACGCUCCUCUCAUUUGGGGGCAGAAGAAUGAAGGGAAACUCACAGAGAAACAGAAAAUGAAAUUGGUCCAACUAUUUCACUGCUGGAGAUAGAUGGAGUUAGGAUACAUAGGUGACUUGGUUUAGGAAAGAGAGGAUGUCGAAGGUGAUUUAAAUCCUAACACUGUUUUAUUAAUCGUGCCACAAUUCUACAUGUCAUGUGAUUUUGUUAUCUGCUUUUUGCUGCUUUUAAAUAAAUUUGUACUUUUCUAUCAAUCCAUCAUCCAAUUGUGUUUCGGGUGUUCUUGGCAUUCCCAUCUCUCAAAAACACCCUUAGUUUCUGCCA